AAUUGUUUAGGAAAGUUAGUGGUCUAGUGGUUUCCAUCCAGAAUAGCUCCCAUUUGUACUUUUUUAGUCUGUUUUUGCAUUCGCUUCAGAAGACAAAAUGUACCAUCCUAAGCAUAGAUGCAACAUGGACCAAUUGCUACAUAACAGAAAUCAUACACCUCACAAAACACUUCCUAAAAACUCUGAAUUGCUGGGUAACCUCCAGCAGCUCUCCAACUUUAUUUGAAACAGGACAGACUGUUUUCUUUGUCAAGGGAGUGUGGCGGAGAUGCGCUUGGGUUCUGCAAGCAUUUGAGAAUUGUAUAUAAUUUCUUGGAGAACUAGAACAGUGAGUAAAUACGAUUAAGCAGAAAUGAGGCUUCAAAGAGACAAGACAGUGCCUCAAAGAGCAUACAGUUAUCAUGAAACCAAGAGAGUAAUUGGAAUGAGUUAAGGACACACCUAAAAGAAAAGCCAAAUCUGGGGAAAAAAUAGAGGAAAUUUUAAAGAAAAGGAGCAAACUAGUACCAUAAGUGAUAGUUCCUCAGCAUGUUCUGGCUAGUUUCAUCCCCAGAGAACAAUGAAAGUGAGGAAAGCCAAAAGAGUGAAUAAUAAAAUGACACAAGAUAUUUUAUAAAAAUGUGAAUUUCCAAGUAAGAUUUGCAUGACUGGAAGACUACCAAAUUUUUCCUGACUACUCUCUAACUUCAGAUUUUCAAUAGAGUUGAUCAUGAUCUCCUUCUCCCCAGCAAGGAGGAUGGGCUAAAGAACCUCCCAGAUUUUUUCUGGAGUGUUUUCUGACACCAAAUGAGAAAGUUUUUUCCUCAUACUAACCAAUCAUCCCAACACCAACUGGGUGUCCGACGAUUCACUUCAAUUGUGAUGCUAGCUAUCUGGAAUUAGCCCAGACAGUACUGAUUAGGGGCUUUGUCCCACAAGACUUCCUCCACUUCAGGUACCAGUUGCAAAUAGGGUGCCUAGGCUGCCCACAUUUCUGCCCAGCUGACUAUAAAUUCAGAGGUUCCCAUUAGCCUCCCCUCAGGCUUAAUAACUUACAGAACUAAAAAAAUUGCUUUACUUACUAUUGCUGGUUUAUUAUAAAGUGUACAACUCAGGAGAAGCCAGACGGGAGAGAUUCAUAUGGCAACGUAUGGGGGAGGGAGAUGUGGAGCUUCCUGCCACCCUCCCAGCACCUCAAUAUGUUGACCGCUAUCUAAACCCUGUUGUUUAAGGUUUUUAUGGAGAAUUUAUUAUAGAUGACUGAUCAAAUCAUUAGGUGUGAUGAUUAGAUCCUGUGUGGUGGUGUUUGAACUCAAUUUCAUCUCUCUCCCUUCCCUGGAGGUUGGAGGUUGGGGUGGGGGCUGGGGGUUGGUACGGUUGGGCUGAGGGUUCCAAUCUGCUAAUCAUGUUUUUGGUUCCUCUGGCUACCAGUCCUCAUCCUGAAGCUAUCUAAGAGCCUGCCAAGAAUCCCUUCAUUAGCAUAGACUCAGAGAACAUGAAUUCUACCAGAGGUCCUCAUUCAUACCUGUGUCAUGGGCGUAAAAUAAAUUGGAAGAUGGUCUUACUAUUUGCAGAAACUCUACCUAAUAUUCUUCAGUAGAUACUUCCCUUUUCUUCAAAGAAGAGGAAUAUUAGUCAACUGGUUAGAACUUUGAUGUGUUCAUCAGGGAAGAGUGUCCCAAA